rnacentral:rRNA from 1 species
GAUUAAGAUGGGCAUGCGUGUCAUUAGCUAGUUGGCGGGGUAACGGCCCACCAAGGCGACGAUGACUAGGGGAUCUGAGAGGAUGACCCCCCACACUGGUACUGAGACACGGACCAGACUCCUACGGGAGGCAGCAGUAAGGAAUAUUGGUCAAUGGAGGGAACUCUGAACCAGCCAUGCCGCGUGCAGGAUGACGGCCCUCUGGGUUGUAAACUGCUUUUAUUCGGGAAUAAACCUACUUACGUGUAAGUAGCUGAAUGUACCGAAGGAAUAAGGAUCGGCUAACUCCGUGCCAGCAGCCGCGGUAAUACGGAGGAUCCAAGCGUUAUCCGGAUUUAUUGGGUUUAAAGGGUGCGUAGGCGGCUUAUUAAGUCAGGGGUGAAAGACGGUGGCUCAACCAUCGCAGUGCCCUUGAUACUGAUGAGCUUGAAUACACUAGAGGUAGGCGGAAUGUGACAAGUAGCGGUGAAAUGCAUAGAUAUGUCACAGAACACCGAUUGCGAAGGCAGCUUACUAUGGUGUGAUUGACGCUGAGGCACGAAAGCGUGGGGAUCAAACAGGAUUAGAUACCCUGGUAGUCCACGCCCUAAACGAUGAAUACUCGCUGUUAGCGAUAUACAGUUAGCGGCUAAGCGAAAGCG